rnacentral:rRNA from 1 species
UCAAGCUACUAAGUGCAACAGGUGGAUGCCUUGGUGCCAAGAGGCGAUGAAGGACGCAGCAAGCUGCGAUAAGCUAUGGCCAGCCGCAAGCAGGCUUUGACCCAUAGAUUUCCGAAUGGAGCAAUCCAAUCCCAGUUAUGUGGGAUUAUCACUGGAUGAAUUCAUAGUCCAGUGAGGCGAUACGGGGUGAAGUGAAACAUCUCAGUAACCCCAGGAAAAGAAAACGAAUGUGAUUCCGUAAGUAGUGGCGAGCGAAAGCGGAACAGGCUAAACCUAGGAAACUUGUUUCCUAGGGGUUGUGGGACCUCAAUGUGGGAUUGUCGAACGUUAGUUGAAUGUUCUGGAAAGUUCAACCAAAGACCGUGACAGUCGGGUAAACGAAAACCGAAGACACCCUAGAGGCUUCCCAAGUAAUGCGGUGCACGUGAAACUCUGCAUGAAUCUGUCCAGACCACUGGAUAAGCCUAAAUACUACUUGGCAACCGAUAGUGAACUAGUACCGUGAGGGAAAGGUGAAAAGUACCCCUGCUAGGGGAGUGAAAUAGUACCUGAAACCCGUUGCAUACAAAGUUUCGAAGCCCCCUUGUGGGGUGACGGAGUGCCUUUUGCAUAAUGAGUCUGCGAGUUGUUGUCUGUGGCAAGCCUAAGUCCUUAUGGGAUGGAGGCGAAGGGAAACCGAGUGUGAAAUGCGCGAUUUAGUCGCAGGCAAUAGACCCGAAGCGGAGGUGAUCUACUCAUGAGCAGGUUGAAGCAGCGGUAAUACGCUGUGAAGGACCGAACCGGUGUACGUUGAAAAGUGCUCGGAUGACUUGUGAGUAGGAGCGAAAGACUAAUCAAACCCCGUGAUAGCUGGUUCUCUCCGAAAUAGAUUGAGGUCUAGCGUCAGAUGCUGACUUACGGAGGUAGAGCACUGGAUGGCUUAGGGCCCACACCAGGGUACCAAAACCAAUCAAACUCCGAAUGCCGUAAGGUGAAAUCUGGCAGUGAGUCUAUGGGGGAUAAGCUUCAUAGGCGAGAGGGAAACAUCCCAGACCGUCGGUUAAGGUGCCGAAAUAUGAUUAAGUGGAAAGGAUGUGAUGUUACUUAGACAGUGAGGAUGUUGGCUUAGAGGCAGCCACCAUUUAAACAGUGCGUAAUAGCUGACUCAUCGAGUGAUGUCGCGCCGAAAAUGAUUGGCGAUUAAAUCAUAUACCGAAACCACGGGUCCCGCUCUGCGGGAUGGUAGGAGAGCAUAAUCAGUGCUGUGAAGCUAAACUGUAAAGGAUAGUGGAGCGCUGAUUAGUGAGAAUGCAGACAUGAGUAGCGAUAAGCCAGAUGAGAAUUCUGGCCACCGUAAACCCAAGGAUUCCUGGGCCAGGUUCGUCCUCCCAGGGUUAGUCGGGAGCUAAGGCGAGGCCGUAAGGCGUAGUCGAUGCACAGCAGUUUAAUAUUCCUGCACCGGCAAAGGUUAAGGUAAUGAUGACGUGAAUGGAAAGGUAACAAGGUAAUCGAAUUCCUAGCCUAGUCCUCGUGACGAAGCGGGUUACUGGACCAUUGACCAAGAAAAGCUCAUUACUGUUCCCUUGGCCGCCCGUACCGUAAACCGACACAGGUGGGUGGGUGUAAUUACACCAAGGUGCGCGAGAUAAACCACUCUAAGGAACUCGGCAAAUUAGCCCCGUAACUUCGGGAGAAGGGGUGCCUACUUCGGUAGGCCACAGUAAAUGGGAUCUGGCGACUGUUUAACAAAAACACAGCACUCUGCCAAGUCGUGAAGACGACGUAUAGGGUGUGACACGUGACCAAUGCGACAAGAUUAAGGUGACUUGUUAGCCUUCGGGCGAAGCUCGGAACCGAAGUCCUCGUGAAUGUCGGCCGUAACUAUAACGGUCCUAAGGUAGCGAAAUUCCUUGUCGGGUAAGUUCCGACCUGCACGAAUCGUGUAACGACCG